rnacentral:misc_RNA from 1 species
AAAAUUAUGAAUCUGGUAGGUCCCAUUAAUAAUACAUGUGAUAAUGUGCAAUAAUAUUUGCCUAUGAUAUGCAUCUACGAACUGUAUCAAGUCCAUGAUUCCAUGUAAACUUUGAAAAUGUUAAUUAUAAUAGAGGAGAAAUAAUUCAGGAUCAUUCAAUCUUCUAGAUGAGAAACGGAAAAUUUAUCCAAAAAAAUGAAAGAGGUAAAAAGAUGAAAGUGCAAUGAGUCAAAGACAAAAUAAAAUGACCUUAUUCUAUGUGCUUCAAAUAUUGAUAAAAACCUUCAAAUUGCAAAGGGUGUUUAAAAACAAAGACAUCUAAGUAUGCGAUCAAAGACAGAUAUUCAAAAAGGCACAUGAAUU